rnacentral:rRNA from 1 species
AGCGUAGGCGGACUUUUAAGUGAGAUGUGAAAUACCCGGGCUUAACUUGGGUGCUGCAUUUCAAACUGGAAGUCUAGAGUGCAGGAGAGGAGAAUGGAAUUCCUAGUGUAGCGGUGAAAUGCGUAGAUAUUAGGAGGAACACCAGUGGCGAAGGCGACUUUCUGGACUGUAACUGACGCUGAGGCGCGAAAGCGUGGGGAGCAAACAGGAUUAGAUACCCUUGUA